AGAGUUUGAUCAUGGCUCAGGAUGAACGCUAGCGACAGGCUUAACACAUGCAAGUCGAGGGGCAGCACGGUGUAGCAAUACACUGGUGGCGACCGGCGCACGGGUGAGUAACACGUGUGCAACCGACCCCGUACCGGGAGAUAACCCGCGGAAACGUGGACUAACAUCCCAUAAUACUGGAGGAUCGCAUGAUCUUUCAUUUAAAAUUCCGGUGGUACGGGACGGGCACGCGCGACAUUAGGUAGUUGGCGGGUAACGCCC
rnacentral:rRNA from 1 species